CUGAAAGAUAAUGUACAUGCCGUUUCCUGGGUCUGUAUUAAGCAGCUUUGCCUUCACUGCUAAUAAAGAUUCUGUGGGAAGGAGAGAGGAUGCUUCUGUUAGUAUUUGUUGGCAGGGAAAAAUAUUCCGCUGUUGGAAUCUGUAGCCCACUGUUGUGUAUCUAUUAUGUGUGUGUCUGUUACAGCAAAGAAAAGCAUGAAACAUUACAUGUCUAGAUUUUAAUAGUCUCAUGGCUGAAAUUCCUUCAAAUUUUGAUUCCAGUUUGUGAUUAUUGGAUUGUUCCUUCUGUUUCUGGCCAAUUAUUCAAACAAAGCAAGCAAAUCUUUUAUUAUGAAAUUCCCAACAAUAUGGUAAAAACCCAUGGUAUUUUCUCAAUGCAUAUGAGUAUUAGAAACUUUGAAGUGGAAAGGAUAGUUUUAGGAAAGCCUUGCAAGUCCUGCCUUUAUUUUAUUCAUAAUUUCUAGGUACUUGGUGGAGUUGGAUGCUCAGUGCAGAGUACAGUGAUGCAACAACAGAGCAGUGGCUUCAGGUGGUUAGCCUCAGGAGGAUGCUGACACCAAGGGCUGAGGGAGGAGGAAGUCCAGAGCCCACAUGUGUCUGCCAGGGUGGCUGUGGCACACGCUGAAACCAGCAGUCUUGGUUUGUCCAGCAAAUGUGGGAUUGCAAACCCCAGCAGUUUUUCCACUUGGCAAGAUAUACCACAAGCAGGCAAGCUUGGAAAAAAUUCAGCGUUUCUCCACCACCUCUGUUCCUGUGGAGCCUCCCAGGCUGCUUCUGCCAGUGAUCAAAGGAUGCAGCAAGGAAUGGAUGUCAUCUUCUGAGCUGUACUCAGAUACUUCAAAGGCUUCUGCUUUGCCAUUAAGACAAGCAUCAGUUUUUUUGAUCCAGGCUGGAGUCGGAUGUGCAGCAUCUCGUGCAGUCUUGAGAACUAAGCAGCAAACAAGAUGAGUCAAAGUAAGUUAUUUGUGCCAAAAAAAGCAAGUGAUAGCUUAAUUGGCCAAUCAAUUCAGAAUAGACUCUGCAGUGAAAUAAAUGGCAAUUUGAUUAUGUGCUGCUUCA
rnacentral:lncRNA from 1 species